AGCAGUAGCCGCGGGAAUACGUAGGUGGCAAGCGUUGUCCGGAAUUAUUGGGCGUAAAGGGCUCGCAGGCGGCUUCUUAAGUCUGAUGUGAAAGCCCCCGGCUCAACCGGGGAGGGUCAUUGGAAACUGGGAAACUUGAGUGCAGAAGAGGAGAGUGGAAUUCCACGUGUAGCGGUGAAGUGCGUAGAGAUGUGGAGGAACACCAGUGGCGAAGGCGACUCUCUGGUCUGUAACUGACGCUGAGGAGCGAAAGCGUGGGGAGCGAACAGGAUUAGAUACCCGCGUAGUCCCUGUCUCUUAUAC
rnacentral:rRNA from 1 species